CAAUAACAUUUUCCACAGAUAUUUCAGAACUACGCUUUAACAAUUCCCUUGCGUGCGACACCAUGCUACCGCCACGGAACUUCUCGAGCGACCGUGUGGACGACGGCCCCUGUGUGGCGCCCCCCACACAAGCCCCCACACAAGCCCCAACAAGCUCCUCCAUGAAGGUGUCCUCUUCUGUGAUGGUCAUCCUCAUGGGCUGGGCAUUGCUGUGGAGUCAUUGAAAACGUGCCUCCUGAUCGUUGUCCUUCCAGAACAGCACGGCCUCAACCCUGGUCUCCAGGAACCCCAGGGUGUACUGCUUUCGAUUCCAACCUUAACUGCCGUUCCUGAAAUAAAGAACUUAGCAUUGUUUAUAGACAUUUUAAGGUCUCACGAUCACUGACACAUUAUGUCAGAGACAGACAUUCAUGUUACAAAAAAAAUUCCAUAUUACAGUUUUACAGUUCGUAAAAAUGAUGAUUUGUUAUAUUUUCUCCAAUCACUGUAUUGUAGCAAAUGUCUCCUUUUGGAAAGAGGCUGUUUUGGACUGAUUCACUGAUGGUCUUUCAGCAAAAAAAAAAAAAAAAAUGAAUUCAAAAAUGCUUAACUGCUGGUCACUGAAGCCAAACCAUUUCUGGAAAACGAAGAGUUCAGAGACCUAGCAAAUGGUAACUAGGGUAGAUAAUCCGUUAUGGAGGCAUAGAUGUGUUUCACUUAGUUAAUCCUUUUAGUCUGUGUGGAACUUUGGGGUGUUACUGAUUAAUGACGGCAUGAAGUUGGACUUGGUCACCUUUGAACCAGUUUGUUCAGCAGUUGUCCACGACCAUGAAAUGCACUUUUUUGUACGUCGCUUUGGAUAAAAGCGUCUGCCAAAUGAAUGUAAUGUUUGUCCAAUGUUUCUGCAUUCCCAUUAUUUACAUUAUGCAAUCAUCUCAAAGAUUUAGAAUUUAUAUGACAGGUCUUUUCCUUGCUAUAAACGUGUUUUAUUAGAAAUCGUAUGGUCUAUUAAAGGGGGUUAUUCAAAAAUAAAA